rnacentral:rRNA from 1 species
UACGUAGGAGGCGAGCGUUGUCCGGAGUUACUGGGCGUAAAGCGUGGGUAGGCGGCUCUGUGCGUCUGUGGUGAAAUCUCCCGGCUUACCUGGGAGGGGCUACGGAUACGGCAGGGCUUGAGGGCGUGAGAGGCUUGUAGAACUCCCGGUGGACCAGUGAAAUGGGUAGAGAUCGGGAAGAAUACCAGUGGUGCAGACGGCAAGCUGGCGCGUACCUGACGCUGAGCCACGAAAGCAUGGGGAGCAAACAGG